rnacentral:lncRNA from 10 species
GGGAAAACUACAGUCUCUCAGCUAGCAAGAGAGACAUUCUGAAGAUCAAUAGUAAGGGAGAAACUGGAAGUACAGACUUUGGGGUCCUAAGAGGCAGUUAGAACCAUGGGAGUAGAUGAUGCUAUCUAGGAACGUGAGAUGUGAAAGGAGUGGACUCAAGCUAGAACCCUGCAAAGCACCCACAGCUAUAGGGUAAGUGGAGGAAAGGGCAGAGUGCUUGAAUUUGUUGAGUGCCUACUAAGUUCCAGGUGCUUUGACAUUUUGUCUCACUGAGAUUUCACAAUAAGUGUAUAAGAUAAAUAGUUUUGCCUCUUACUUCCCCCACCCCAACAAAUGAAAUGGAAUCAGAAGUGUAGGAGGAGAACUAGGGGAAAUUAGGAAGUGAGAUUUUCAUCAGGGCAAAAUGAUGCUGACGGAUCAAAUGGGACAAGAAAUGUGAAAAAAAUCAUUUUACACUUUUAUCCAUCUAUUGAUGGAUAAAAUUUAACCAAAAUUGAGUCACUGAAUUUGAUCAUUGAUCAAAUUUUUCUUACUCUGAUAAGAGUUUUCAGAAAACUCUGAUCAGAGUUUUCUUACUCUGAUAUCUCAUAUUCAAAAGGGAAAGAAAAUCAACAACACAAUAAACAACCUCCUGAGGAAUGCAGUGUAAAAGCAAGGCUUGGUGUGUUGUUUCGCAAAAAAUCUUGCUUUGUCAGCAUUAAUACUAACAGAUAACAUGAGAAGAGGCAAAAGUGUUGGCUAAAUGUACCAUAACUGCCUGGGAAUAGUUAUCUGUAGUCUAUUUUUUUUUUUUCUCAUCUAAAGUUCUUAGAUGAAAGAGAGCUGGGUUACUGUGAACCAAAAUCUCCUGCU